rnacentral:rRNA from 1 species
UGGGGAAUAUUGGACAAUGGGCGAAAGCCUGAUCCAGCCAUGCCGCGUGUGUGAAGAAGGUCUUCGGAUUGUAAAGCACUUUAAGUUGGGAGGAAGGGCAGUAAGCGAAUACCUUGCUGUUUUGACGUUACCGACAGAAUAAGCACCGGCUAACUCUGUGCCAGCAGCCGCGGUAAUACAGAGGAUGCAAGCGUUAAUCGGAAUUACUGGGCGUAAAGCGCGCGUAGGUGGUUCGUUAAGUUGAAUGUGAAAGCCCCGGGCUCAACCUGGGAACUGCAUCCAAAACUGGCGAGCUAGAGUAGGGCAGAGGGUGGUGGAAUUUCCUGUGUAGCGGUGAAAUGCGUAGAUAUAGGAAGGAACACCAGUGGCGAAGGCGACCACCUGGGCUCAUACUGACACUGAGGUGCGAAAGCGUGGGGAGCAAACAGG